UACGGGGGGAGCAAGCGUUGUUCGGAUUUACUGGGCGUAAAGGGCGCGUAGGCGGCCACCGCAAGUCGACUGUGAAAUCUCCGGGCUUAACCCGGAAAGGUCAGCCGAUACUGCGGGGCUAGAGUGCAGAAGGGGCAACUGGAAUUCUCGGUGUAGCGGUGAAAUGCGUAGAUAUCGGAAGGAACACCAGUGGCGAAAGCGGCUUCCUGGUCCGACACCGACGUUCAGGCACGAAAGCGUGGGGAGCAAACAGG
rnacentral:rRNA from 1 species